CGAGACACAUGAGGCGCAGCUUCAGAUUAGCAAAAAGAGAGAAGCAGAUUAGCGUCUGAAGAAAAAAGCAUUAAUCUUUUCCUUCGAUUCAUCCGCUCUGCUGCCCGUCAAUGCUCCACAUUGUUCCAGGUUCCGGUGAUCUCACUCACAACUCACGGAUUGACACCUGCAGAUUCACCGAACAGUGCGGCAUCAUGCACGAUGAUUUGUGCAGCAGAUAUUGAUCCAGCCAUCAGUCUCGCUACGCCGUUAAAGUAAAAUGCAAAUAGUACAAAUAGUAUUUCGAAUCGAUCGGACAUUCUCCAGGAGGUACUAUUACUGCGUUACACAAUGUUCUUGUACAAAAUGUGUACAAUACUCUAAUGGAUUAUCUCGACUCUCAGUAUACUUCGCAAAAGAAGUGGCAGAUCAUUCAUAAUGCAAAACAAACACCGAGACAUCAAAAGUAUACGAUGAUACAUGAGAUGUUAUAACAUAAACACCGACUAUAUUCCAGUCGAAUCUGGCCUUAAAACAACUCAGGUAUGUAUAAUCUGCGAACGCAUAGGUACCUCAUGGUUUUCUUUCUUUCUUUCAGCGCACCAUACCUGGCCAACUCCGACAUUUAAAACGUUUUCCCGAAAUGGUUCAUUACAGAAAAUGACACUUAUUUGCGCCGAUUUGCAAAAAGUUUCGUUUCAAGAAGCUAAUUGCACUCCAAACGGGUAUGCUCGCGCACCGAUCCUUACAGCAAAAGGGCCGACAGCUAAUUCACUUUGGUGAAACCUUCACCCCCUAAAAGCACGAUUUAAUUACGUUAACUUUUUAUUUGAAACCUUAUGGUACAAGAGGUACGCAACAUGCAGUAUCCUUGGAGGUGUGUGAAAGCGACCGAAGGCACUUGAUUCUGGGGGCGCGCUCGCAAGGCCAAUCAUCAUUUCUCCUUCGUGUCUAAUGAAAGCCCCUCUAAUUACCGCUUGCCGUGUCGGGGCUAAUAAGAAGACUUUUCCAAGGACCGCACAUACCGGGCUCACCAGCGACCAGGGUAUGGGAUUCGUGUCGAGGAUCCCGAGGCUCCCAGCCAUUAGCCAUUAGCCUGUCAUACCAACGCACGACGUUUGGCUUCAACUUUGCUGACACCUGAACUGCAAUUUCCGGAUAAUGCCGCGGUACUUGCCACAACUACACUAGCACAAGCUAAGGCCUAUUCGCCUUGUUACGGCGCUCGUCGCGAGUAUCCGUGGCGCUAGUGACAGGAAUGGUAACAAUUGGUUGCGACUUCUGGACACCGAUGACUUGCAGGACCAGAAAACAAACCUCCUCUUGUAUGCCGUCAGGAUAUCAAGCAAACCGAUAAUAAUAUGAUCCAUGGACUGUCCUUUCGCCCCCUUUCCGAUGCAAGUGCGGUGUGGAUCGGUUGAGAUGGUGAUAGAAAUACAAUACCCGACGUAAUGCAUUCAAUGCACUUACUGCAAACACGUCACUAGCCUUUUCGUUUACAAGCGAAAUGGAUAUUUAUGUGUAAUUCCAGACUUAUCUAUUUCUCUCCCUGUUUAGCUUUACGUAACCUACGGCAAACUUUUCUUAUAAUGUUGAUUGGAAAUCUUCCUCUACUGAGGAAAGGCUCGAUGUUUAUUGCGUUUCGAUGAGCUCAUUAGCUUUGAUUUUCUCGAAGGAAGGUUAGUGGGAACACUUUACGACGAUUAAGAUUGCAGUUGAAAUUUCACUUAGACAACUAGCACAAGCUUUGAUGGUUGCAAUCGAGAAUGAUGGAUCACAAUGUAGCAGCUAAAAGUUACAAUUGUUUUGCGCUCUGCGAUGACAAUGUAAAAGAAUUGCAUGUAGUAGUUUUGGUUUUAAUUGAACACUCUACGAUGUUUGAACUAUUUUAAAAUACAAUUUUAAAGAUCUAAAUAUCUUUGACUCAUUGGAACAACGUAUAGUUAUUAGUAUUUCUUUUUGAUUGAUUUAAAGUGAUUUCGCCAUCUACACAAAUAGAACAAGAACAAGUAUUUAAAAAAAUAAAGAAUAAUUUACAAAUGAAAUGGCUGCGAUACAUUUAGCAAAAACAAUCAAAA